AUUGAACGCUGGCGGCAAGCCUAACACAUGCAAGUCGAACGAGCGCCGGCCGGGUGAGUAAUUUUUGGGAACCUGCCUGAUGGAGGGGGAUACCUACUGGAAACGGUACCUAAUACCCCUUACCAUCGGACUUCCCCAACUGGGAUUAGCUAGUAGGUGGGGUAAUGGCUCACCUAGGCGACGAUCCCUAGCUGGUCUGAGAGGAUGACCAGCCACACUGGAACUGAGACACGGUCCAGACUCCUACGGGAGGCAGCAGUGGGGAAUAUUGCACAAUGGGCGCAAGCCUGAUGCAGCCAUGCCGCGUGUAUGAAGAAGGCCUUCGGGUUGUAAAGUACUUUCAGCGGGGAGGCGUUACCCGCAGAAGAAGCACCGGCUAACUCCGUGCCAGCCGCCGCGGUAAUAC
rnacentral:rRNA from 1 species